UGUCAGUCACGCCACUGCCCUGCAGAAGAAUCUCCCAUUUAAAGGUAGACUCAGCGAUAUGACGUAGAUGCAGAAAGUAAAAAAAAACAUAAUGGGUCAAUUUCCGCAACAAAUAAGAGAGUUCAAGCGCGAGGCUCAACUUCUCCACUGCUUUGGUGUAAACAGCGUGAAGGGAACCCGUGAACAUGCGUAGAUACUGUGUGUGACUGUGUGAGAGCGAAGUGUUGCAUCUCGCUAAUCUCAAAUAUCUCUGGUGCUGCUCAUGGCAACAUCAUUUGGAUAUAGUACCCUAUUUCUAACAUUCUGGCUAAGAAAUGGAGUAGCAGAUUAUCAUACAGUACAUUACUGAGUUAUACCCUGAAAGGGUUGGGUGGGGAGAAUGAACAGGUCCAAAUUCAUUAGGCACCAAACAGAAGAAAACGGACUGAAAUAGGGAGAGACAACCUGAACUUGUCCAAUAAGAAACGUUCCUUUUCAUUUUCCGAUGCACAACGUUUUGAAGCCAUGUUCCCAAAUGAAUAGAACAGUCACCCUGAUGGGCCCCAGGUUCCCACCAACACUCCCACAUCCAUGUCCAUACAUCAGCCCUGUCUCGCUUCUAUCGACGACCCCGUCUCUACAGACAGACAUAGCACUCAGGCAGUCUGUGUGUGAUAACAUCAUCGCCUGGCACAGUGCCAAGGUGUGACUGCCUGACAGUCCUGUCCCCUGUCCUUCCCUCCCCUGUCCCUGUCCUGGCAGCCUAAUCACUGAUCACUGAGAGGAGCCGGGUGGAUGACAGAUGUGUUAAAGCCAACAGUAGUCUGCAAUGUAGUAAUUACUGAGAGAGACACAGGUUAAAUUAAUAGGCCUACAGAUCUCAAACACAUGGCCCGCGGCCAAAAGUGGCCCACAAGCCAUUUUAAUAUGGCCCGCUAUGUUGUCAUAGUUCAUAGUUGUCAUCGCCUACUAUUAUAUCAUUCUUGAUUUCAAUGCGUUUUAAUUCUGCACAUACAGAGAAAUCAACUGAGUUAUUGCACCUUUAAUUAUCAGCCUACUGACAGCAACAAUAAGGUUCUUUAGUUCUCUCAGUAUAUAAAGAGUGUGGUGUGUUCAGAUGACUAACUGAUUAUGUGCUACGAUACAGUCCAGAGAGAAACCUUUCAUUUCAUGACUCCCACAUUAUAAAAACAAAAUUGUAAUAUCCUGUAACAGGAGAACAGGCUGUGGCGAUUGUGUUUCUCUCUGCUCUAUUCAUUGCUUCUGCUGAUUCCCCCUCACAGCCCAGGUUUCCAAGGAGACCUAUAGAAAGGCCAAACAAACACUGAGCAGCAGACUCGUCCUCUCCUCACCCCAAGAGUUGAUGUCAUACAGCAGCAGCAGCAUGAAUCCAGCCUGAUUCAACCACAUGAAAGAACGAGGGAAGCAAGCCUAAAGGCAGCCUAAACCGCAUGUUGGGGCCAUCAAGGAAUGCCCAGUGUGUGUGUGUUUGGGGGGGGGGGGGGACACUAAAGUCACAGGACUAAGGUCGAAUCUUACUAAGCUGGCUCUGAUGCUAGAUGGAUGCAGCAGAGCGACUUGCAAACUAUCACGGACUAAAAAGGGAAACCCAGCCGUGAGGUGUCCAGUGAUGCAAGCCUACCAGACAAGUUAAAUGCCUUCUAUGCACGCUUCGAGGUAAGCAACACUGAACCAUGUAUGAGAGCACCAGCUGUUCCGGACAACUAUGUGAUCUCGUGCUCUGUAGCCGAUGUAAGACCUUUAAACAGGUUGCAAGGUCGCGCGGCCAGACGAAAUACCAGGACGCUUACUCAGAGCAUGUGCUGACCAGCUGACAUUUUAUCCCUGACAUGGUCUGCAAUGCCAACUUAUUUCAAGCAGACCACGAUAGUCCCUGUGCCCAAGAACGCAAAGGUAACCUGCCUAAAUUACUUUCGCCAUGAAACGCUUUGAAAGGCUGGUCAUGGCUCACAUCAACACCAUCAUCCCAGACACCCUUGACCCACUCCAAUUCGCAUACCGCCCCAAAAUAUCCACAGAUGAUGCCAUCUCUAUUGCACUCCACACUGCCCUCACCCAACUGGACAAAAGUAAUACCUAAUGUAAGAAUGCUGUUCAUUGACUACAGCUCAGCAUUCAACACCAUAGGCCCCUCUAUGCUCAUCCACAAGCUCUGAACCCUGGGACUGAAUGCCUCCCUCUGCAACUGGAUCCUGGACUUCCUGACGGGCCGCUCCCAAGUGGGGAGGGUAGGCAACAACACAUCCUCCACACUGACCAUCAACACGGAGGUCCCUCAGGAGUGUGUGCUUAGUCCCCUCCUGUACUCUCUGUUCACCCACAACUGUGUGGCCGUGCAUGACUCCAACACCAUCAUCAAGUUUGCUGAUGACUCAACGGUUGUAGGACUGAUCACUGACGAUGAUGGGGCAGCCUAUGGGGAGGUUAGAGACCUGGCAGUGAGGUGCAAGGACAAGAACCUCUCCCUCAACGUCAGCAAGACAAAGGAUCUUAUCGUGGACUACAGGAAAAGGAUAGACGAGCACGCCCCCAUCCACAUCGAGAGUUUCAAGUUCCUCGGUGUCCACAUACACACACACACACAGUUGUGAAAAGGGCACGACAGUGCCUAUUCCCCCUCCGGAAGCGGAAAAGAUUUGGCAUGAACCCUCAAAUUCUCAAGUUCUACAGCUGCACCAUUGAGAGCAUCUUGACUGGAUACAUCACCGCUUGGUAUGGCAACUGAAGGGCACUCGACUGCAAGGCGCUACAGAGAGUGCAUCUUCAGCCCCUCCACUACCCCAGGAGACAGACCGUCCAGCAGCAGAAUCCAAUGGAAUAGCCAGGCCCAGCAGCUACCUCAAUCCUGCAGCAGCAGCAGAAUCACUUCCACUCCCAGACAGGAGCCACAGAAUACCAAUUCAUUACUUACAAACCGCCUUUUAUUCACCUUUAUACACACAUCCCUGAUUCUCAGGGACCGAGACAUUCCUAACUGACGGAGGACAGAGACAGAGUGGGCAGUGAAAGGGUGAAGCCAGGGAUCGGCAGGCACACAUAAUAGUUCUGGAUCGGAAGGGUGCCAGCUAUGCAAAGAAUUCUCCCUCUCCAUUGGGCCAAGCACAACACAGCAGCAGUACCUCGCUUAGCAUAGGCCCGCCAACCACAAAGCUAGCCAAGCAGCCAACCAGCCAGCCAGCCAACCAGCCAGCCAGCCAGCCACCCAGCCUGGCAGUGACUGAGUGAGUUAGCAUUGCAGCCAGCCAGACACCCAGCUACCCAACCAGCUACCCAACAAGCCUCAUUCUGAGAGCUGGGCCAAGGCUAUGGUCAGUCAUCAGUCCCCCCUCCCUGCUCUCUUCGCCUCCAUAAAGGGACAGCAGGAGAGAAAGGGGCCUCCUUUUGUCCACUCCAGAUUAGUCAACACAGGGGGAGGGCCAAGACUGAGAGAAGAGGACAUUUGAUUUCUCCUUAGAGCAUAACUGAGCAUAACGCAAUAUCUGUAGAUAGCAAACAGUGUUUUUAGCAGGAGCAUUUAUCAGGAUAGAAAGACUUGCACAAAGCAACUUCCUCCCACAGUUUUCUAUUCAACUCUUUCCAGUAAACAUACGGCGAGGCCAAAUGAAGAAAGGCCAAAUGUCAACAUUUGGCUUAAAAGUUACCAGUCCCUAUUUGAGGCCAAUCAAAAAACACAACCCUCUAUCAUAAAACUCAAACCGGUCACUUCACAACAUAUAGGACAACAUACAAUUGUGGUUCAGUCUGACCGUGUAUGUGGUCCCAAACGUUCCAUUUACUGAAAACGGACACGCUUUUAUUCCAAGCCUGGUCAAUUUACAUGAAACCUUGAAGAAAGGCAAAUAACAGAUCAGCUCAGCUAAACCCAGCCUACUUAACCCUGGCUACUUAACCCAGCCUACUUAACCCAGCCUAUACAACACAGCGUAACCUAUAGCCAAACCCAGCUAAACCCAGCCUACUUAACACAGCCUAUUCAACACAGCGUAAUCUAUAGCCAAACCCAGCUAAACCCAGUCCAGCUCAGCCCAGCUAGACACAGCCAGGGUCAACCCAACCAAGCCCAGCCCAGCCAAACCACACCGUGUCUUACUUCUCUGGCCCUAUCCACACGGCCCAACCAUGGUAAUCCCAGCUCAGCUCAGCCCAAUCCCACCCCACCCAGCCUUGUACUACAUAAUGUCUUACCUCUCGUUGCUUCUCCAUCUCAGCCUGCAGGACCUGCUUGGCUACCUCGAGGUCCUGGAGCCUGACCCUCAUCUCCUCGUUCUCCUGCUCCAGACGGCCCCUCUUCUUCUCCACAGAGUCCAACUCGUUGUGCAGCCGGAUGGACACGUCUUUAGCCACCUGUAGUCCAAAGAUGGAGACGAGAGAGAGAAGACAUGAGGGAGGGUGGUCAACAUCAGAGGUUCAUUGAGAAGCAUGAUCCACAAUGCCAUGGUCCAGAGUCAUACUAAAUGACUUUAUGAAUGCCCUUAAUAAAUUGUGAUUUGUUUCCAGUAUGACCAUAUACACACUGAGUGUACAAAACAUUAGCAGCCCCUUUUUGCCCUCAGAACAACCUCAAUUCGUCGGGGGAAUGGGCUCUACAAGUUGUUGAAUGCGUUCUACAGGGAUGCUGGCACAUGCUGACUCCAAUGCUUGCAAACGGUUGUGUCAAUUGUCUCAAGGCUUAAAAAUCCUUCGCUAACCUGUCUCCUCGCCUUCAUCUACACUGAUGGAAGUGCAUUUAACAGAUGGCAUCAAUAAGGAAUCAUAGCUUUCACCUGGACCUGGUCAAAUCAAAUCAAAUGUUAUUGGUCACAUACACAUGGUUAGCAGAUGUUAAUGCGAGUGUAGUGAAAUGCGUGUGCUUCUAGUUCCGACAGUGCAGUAAUAUCUAACAAGUAAUCUAACCAUUCCCCAACAACUACCUAAUACACACAAAUCUAAAGUGAAUGAGAAUACGUACAUAUAAGUAUAUGGAUGGUCAGUCUACGUCAUGGAAAGAGUGUUCUUAAUGUUUUGUCCACUCAGUGUAUAUGGGUAAGUAAAAUAUGUCUCUCUGCUGAUGGUGUAUUCACAGCACAGUAACAAAUGACACCAUACUGUAACUUAUCAUUAAUGUGUUCCAGUAUUUUAUUUAAUGUGUUCCAGUAUUAUCAUUAAUGUGUUCCAGUAUUAUCACCAAUGUGUUCCAGUAUUAUCACUAAUGUGUUCCAGUAUUAUCCCUAAUCUGUUCCAGUAUUAUCAUUAAUGUGUUCCAGUAUUAUCAUUAAUGUGUUCCAGUAUUAUCAUUAAUGUGUUCCAGUAUUGUCAUUAAUGUGUUCCAGUAUUAUCAUGAAUGUGUUCCAGUAUGAUCACUAAUGUGUUCCAGUAUUAUCCCUAAUCUGUUCCAGUACAUUCACUAAUGUGUUCCAGUAUCAUGAUUAAUGUGUUCCAGUACUAUCACUAAUGUGUUCCAGUAUCAUCACUAAUACGGGUAGGAGUGGAGUAGAGCAGAGACCAGCUUACAUCAUCAUGUGUUGACAUGUUGCUACAGAACAAGACUGUUAUUAAGGCUGAUCUUCUUAAAGUUGGAUAUAGGUUCCCCUGAGGGGUAGGAAGAGCAUUACAUGCAGUUGGGGAUCAACACAGACACUAUCCAGAUGAGGAUAUGAUGUUCUGCUGGGCCAACAACAACUUGUGUGUGUGUGUUUGUGUGUGUGUGUGUGUGUGUGUGUUUGUGUGUGUGUGUGUGUGUGUGUGUGUGUGUGUGUGUGUGUGUGUGUGUGUGUGUGUGUGUGUGUGUGUGUGUGUGUGUGUGUGUGUGUGUGUGUGUGUGUGUGUGUGUGUGUGUGUGUGUGUGUGUUCCUGUUUGACUGUAUAUCACCAGGGCACUGACAGGAUGUUCAAUCCAAAUGCAAAUCCAGCUGUCUGGUUUUAAUUGUUUAUAAUGAAAGGAGGUGACAUGUCAAGGGGUGCUCUAUUCAUUCCAUAGACAGGAAACACAUCCAAAACAUCUGAGUGGAUUGUCAUAUUGAUGUCAAUUGUGCUGAAAGCAUUGUAUCAUUCAAAAUGGUAAUAUAACAUAAUGAUAUCUAAUGCAUAAUCUGAUUAUUAUUAUUUAAUGUUCUCUCUCUAUUUUUCUACCUCUGCAACGUCAUAGCAUGGGAUGGGAGUCUUUUGGUGCAGUGUGGAGUGGGGUACAGUGCUGAUCUCAUUAAAGGAGGAAGGGGGUCAGAGCAAACAGGGCUUCUGUGUGUGUGUGUGCGAAUAUGUUUGAAUAUGUGUGUGCGUGCGUGCGUCUGUGUGUUUGUUUGUGUGUGCGAGUGCAUGCACGUGUGUCACAAUUGGGGUAUUCUCUCUGGCCCUAUAACCAGAGCCAAUGUGCAGCUGGGAACCACAAUGCCCCUCUGUGCUGCACACUCUGAGAGUGGACCAACCGACCAAUUCCCCAUCAUGCUCAAAUUCAUCUCUCUCUCUCUCUCUCUCUCUCUCACAGACUUUCUCUUUCUAUCUCUUCUUGCACCUCUUUUUUCGGUCUUCCCCUCCUUCUCUCAUUCUGCCCCGGCCCCUCCCUCUCUCUUCUCCAUACUUUAUAAGGUAGAAAAGUACAUGCAGAGAGACGGACUGCAUGGCCAAAUCAAUGCUCCCUUUCAUUAGCGUUCUGGGAAGGUUCCAGGUUAUGUUUUUAGACUGCCGGUAUAUGGCGAUCGGGCCCCUUCACAGUAAACAACAGUCUGUAUUAACGGCCUGUUAACUUACUACAUCUACAGGAUUCCCUUCUCCCUCUUGCUGUUCAGCCUCUUUCCAUACACUUUCUUGUCUGCCUUCGCCUGGAUUUCAGCACUCCGUGGGUGAAGUUUCCCCUAGAUACAGAUCUAGGAUCAGCUUCCCAGCCCCAACCCCUAACCUUAACCAUUAUUGAAAAAAAAAAGAAAAGAAAACUGAAUCAAGAUCAGUGUCUAGGUUCACCGUACUAGCGGUUUUAGCAUUGGUGAGAGGGGUUCCAGCUGGAAAGCUAGAGGACGUGAAUGGCAUACAGAGGAGAGGAGAGAAGGUCUUGCAGGACUGGUACAUUAUAGUCAAGUCCCAGCCUUCAGACUCCUAACGUCGAUCCUAUCCACACCCGGCACUUGGACACACAUACCAAAUUAAAGAGAGACAUUCACCCAUCAAACGGGUCUCUUUCACAUGUUUUUGUGGGUGAGUGUGUGUGUGAUAGAGAAUAUUUUGCAUCUCUGAGGGUGGGUUCGUUGGUGUGUGUUUGUGUGUGUGUGUACGCGCACAUGUGUGUGCCUGCAUGGGAGUGUGUGAGUGUGUGUGCCUGCAUGGGAGUGUGAGUGUGUGUGUGUGUGUGUGUGUGUGUGUGUGUGUGUGUGUGUGUGUGUGUGUGUGUGUGUGUGUGUGUGUGUGUGUGUGCUGAAGCAGCACCCUGUUCCCCUUCUGAUCCUUCCUGUCAGCAUUGGCACAGCUGUUCCUCCACACGCCUUUUAACAAUGACUUCCCUGUACAUUUUAUCAUCGCCGUUUUGCAUGUUGGCAGUACGCACAGGAGGGGGGAGUGUGUAAAGCAUCGGCCAUGUCUGUGUCCCAAUUGGCAUCAUCUGCCCUACGUAGUGCACUACUUUUGACUAGGGCCCAUAGCCAAGGCCUUACUGUACAUAACCUUGGAGAGAUAUUGUAUUUUCUACUUAAAUGAGCUAAGAAGUGCUUACAAAGGAGAGCAUACUCUAUGAAAGCAUUGAGUAUUUACCAUCUAGCUUAGACAUUUAAUGAUAGGAUCUAGUAUUGCAGUAUCAGCUAACAGGCUCAGCCAUCUAGUUGUUAUCCUUCCUGUUGCAGCCUCUAGAAACUGAAAAUAAUCAUCUUCUUCCCUUCUGUCUAUCUAUAAAAGGCUCUUUAGCAGUGAAAGAGCAGACCCCUGCACGACAGUUGUUUAGUGGUUACAAAAUAAUCCACAUGGUGGGCAUCCACACACGCUCCGUCUAGUGCCGUGCUGAGCAGGCACAGGGACAAAAAUACUUCCUGAUACUCCUCGAGCCAGCCAAUCGGCUCUCUGAUCCGGGCGUGUCUGGCUGACACAUGGAGACGGUUUCUAUUGGUAUCUCCAGGAUGCUGCUGUUACUGCAGCCCAGACGUUAUCUGCUGCUGAGAGAGGGAUGGAGAGAGGGAGAUAGAGGAGAGAGAGGGAAUCCACCCUCUCUCUCUCUCUCUCUCUCCCUCUAUCUCAACAACCCCUACUUUCCUUCCCUAUAUGUCACAUCACGCCAUACUGCAACUCGGCUGUUGCUAUGCAGGAGUGCACAGAGGUUAAGCCCACUCAUCCUAUAUAUGUGAAGUUAAGAGGGGGAAGGAUAUGGUAUCUUUCACACCCCACCCCAUCACAGAUCACAGGCAAUGUGUGAGAGACUGUGCCUUUGACUAGAAAUAAAAGACCUCAGUCAGUUUCCCCAGCAAACAAUGACGGUAGCAUCAUAACAUCCAGGCUGGGAGAGAUGUUGUUAAUGGAAUGUUUAUGGAAUGAAAAGGCUAGCUGCCCUGAAUAAAAUCCACUGACCCAGACAGUGUAAUGAGAGACUGAUUCUAUAUCAUACUGGUAUCUACUGUAUAUCCCUCAGCACAUUUCCAUUGUCAUGGAAGACCUCACUGUUUUCCAUUUCCUAUGUGUCAUAGCUCUGGAAUUAGGACAGUGGGUCAGAAAGGACAGGAAGUGACAAGGAGAAUCCCACGACCAUCUCCAGAUGUCACACACACACACACGCACACACACACACACACACACACACACACACACACACACACACACACACACACACACACACACACACACACACACACACACACACACACACACACACACACACACACACACACACACACACACACACGUACACACACUCGUACUCGCACGCAAAAAUGCAUGCAUUGCACAUUCACGCCCCUCCCCCUGCGGAGCGCUGAAGAGCAGAAUGCAACAGGAAGUGGGAACAGCUCACUGUGUAUGUCACAAGGGAACAAGGACUUAGGAGAGAGAGCAAUAAUUAUGUUAAGCCAAUUUAAAGUAUAGCCCUACUGCUACAGCCCUAUCAGCUUACAGUAUGCUAUUUUAUGUGAUCACGUUGGUUGAGUACUGUGUGACUAAUAAAGACUGACCAUAGCCACAAAGUAGUUAUUUUCGUCUAAGGAACCUACCUACCCCAAUGUGUUGAAACGACCUGUAUUUACUGAAUGUGCCUAACAUACAUAAUACAUACUAACUGUUCAAUAACUCAUUGCUGUGCCACAAAGACAAAGUAGUGUGUUCUUGCUGACAAGCAGAAGAAGGUCUACAAUGGCUGGUAAAGGACAGGUCUCAAAUAUCACCUGGAAUACAGCCCAAAUCCUCUCAAACAUGUCAAGACACAUUUCCUUCCCCCAGUGCUUGGUUGGUGCGUGAAUACGCCUUACUAUCUGAGAACACCGGCCUCACGGUUAGAGGAACUCAGUUUGAAGGGAGUCUGGAGUGCAUGGGAGUGUUAAAACCCAGUGUGAGGGAAGAGGGUUGAGAAAUUUGAUCUGGUUUAGUUGGUAGCCGGCAGAAACAAUCAGGUAUGUGUUGAGUGACUGGCCCUAGCUGUUUAAGAAUACGGAGAGGGAGACGGAGAGGGGAGGCCGAGGAAGCCGGGGUCACAUCCCUGUGGUUUGUUUUUGGUUUCCUGUGUUAAUGGCCUUCUUUGACUGGCUUCCCCCUGGCCCGUUGAGCCCUGCGCCCACCCGCUGCGCCCCGAUUGGCUGCUGAGGACUUAACUCGGGAGCGACACCAAAUCCUUAUUCCCCAGAGUCAGCACAGACGGCCGGCACAAAGGCACAAUAUUACCUCGCCAGAAAGAAGGGACACUUUUUUUCACCUGUUUCUUUCUUUCUCUUUAAAAAAAAAAAGAUAUACAAAUGGACUGUUUUUAGUGAGGGACAGCAGGAACAGGGCCUGCCUUCAGGGGAUGACAUCAUUACCCUCUCCCCCCCCCUCUAUUCCCUCCUUCCUCGACUCCUGAGAAAGACCACAUUGUGCUUCUGUCACAUGGAUCACAGAGGGCUGUGAAUUUGGGAUGUGUAACCACAGCCUCAGUUCAGUAGGAAGACCAACAACCCGCAAUGUCUCCAUUAACAAGAAAUCCCAUCAAUGGUGUGUGAAUGUAUGCAUUUAAAGCCAAAUGUAACCUUUGUCCUUUGACUUGUUAUGUCAUACCCCCCUUCUUUGAAUUUUCUGAAAAUCUGCAAAGACCUAAAUGCUAGCAAUUACCCAAAGUUCAGUCUCUCGUCAAGUUCUGUUUGUGUUACUGACAUAUACGAUGUAUGCAUAGCCUUACACACAGACACACACACAUAAUCUUGGCUGCCCAUCGAAAGUCGAUGAAGGCAUACACACACACACUCUCCAUUCCAGAUUCACCUUGACGUCCUGCUCCAGGGUACGGAUGAGCUCCCCAUCCACCUGUCCCGUCUGGGCCACGCGGAGGCUGCGUCUCUCGGCCUUGCGGAGGCGGUACUGCAAAAUGCGGCAGGUCUUGUUGGCCUGCUCAAACUGCUGCCUCAGCUCCUGCAGCUGGUACACAUCCUCCUCCAUGUACAUGUCCCUCAUCUCCAACAUCUCCGAGCGCAGCUCCUCCAUCUCAUCCUGGGGAGAGAGGGUCGGGGGAAGGGUGGAGGAGAAGAGAGUUGAGAAUGGUAGAAAAUGGUCUUGAUGAGCUAGUGCCAUCCUUAGACUCCUUAUAAUAAUGAUUAUAGGGACUGUCUCAGCAUCAGAUCACCAGUCAUCUUCAACACCCCCUUCAUUAGUGUUUCCUUAGCAGGGUGUGUAUCAUCAUCUCAAACUCAGUAGGCCUUUCCUGCAGUCAAAUUACCUAGUGGCCUCAUGGGUGGAAUGUUAUUAAUCAUUUUCAUAAUUUCAUAAUUAAUCAUUUUUGGGGGGUUUAAAGCUGAAUGAAAAUCCGGUGUUUCCAUGUCAAACGGUUUUGUUAUAUUUCUGGGAUGUAUUUAACGUGUAAUAUUGGGAUGCAAACUCAAAAUUAAAUACAUUACAACUCGA